AUGAUACAGAAAAUAGACGAAAAAAGUGUGAAUUAAAAAUUGGCGGCAGUAUAUAAACUGGGGUUUGCAUGAGAAUUAGAAAUUUCUGGACUCGUGCCAGAGUAAUAGUACCUCAGUACCAUCUCGAACUUCCCCGAGCAGAAGAUAAAAAUCAUGUUCCCAGUACCACUGUACCAGAAGUAACAGAACCCUAAAAAUCUUCCUUUACGAGCAACGAAAUCAGCACCCUUUUUUAAUCGGAGACAAAAAUGGAUCCACAGACAGCGUUGGAGUUGGUUAAGCACGGAGCUACUCUUCUACUGCUGGACGUUCCCCAGUAUACACUUAUCGGCAUUGAUACUCAGAUGUUUUCUUCGGGUCCGAAUUUCAAGGGCAUUAAAAUGAUUCCUCCUGGUGUUCAUUUUGUGUACUAUAGCGCAUCCAAUAGUUUGCAGAAGCUGAUAUUCUUUUCCCCUGUUUGCAGAGAAGGCAAUCAGUUCUCGCCGAUUAUUGGAUUUUUUGUGGACGCUCAGCCCUCCCAGGUGAUUGUUCGGAAAUGGGACAAAAAUGAAGAACGGCUCACCAAACUCUCAGAAGAAGAGGAAGAGAGAUAUGGUGAUUCAGUGAAAAGAAUGGAGUUUGACAGACAACUGGGACCUUAUACCUUAAGCGCAUAUGGGGAUUGGAAGCGAUUAUCUAACUACAUCACAAAGGACACUAUUGAACGCAUUGAACCAAUUGGAGGGGAAAUUACAGUUGCAUGUGAAGUUGACAUGAUUGGAAACAGUCCCAAGACAGCAAUGGAAAAAGCUUUAGCUGAGCAAUUAAAGACCAGUAAGUUUUCAGAGCCAGGAGAAAAUUCUCAAAGGAAGGGUUGUUACUACACACCAAUUCCGCGCCUUAUCAAGCACAAAGGAAUUUGUGCGGAGGAGCUAACCAGUUUGAAUCUUGACAAGACCCAGCUACUGGAGAGCUUAUUGGUGCAAGAUUAUGGUGGUACAGAAGACUUGCUUCUAGCAGAGCUGCAAUUUGCAUUUAUUGCAUUUCUGAUGGGGCAGUCACUGGAAGCAUUUAUGCAAUGGAAGCUCUUAGUUAGCCUCUUACUUGGUUGUACAGAAGCUCCUCUACGGACGAGGAGUCAGCUUUUCACAACGUUCAUUAGAAUCAUCUAUUAUCAGUUGAAAUAUGGAUUCCUAAAGGAUCAUCAGAAUACUGCUAUUGCAGAAAAAGGGGCUCUAGCCUUGUUGGAUGAAUCUUGGUUAUCUGCUGAUAGCUUUCUACACCACCUUUGCAAGGAUUUCUUUUCAUUAGUCCUAGAAGCUCAGGUGGUGGAUGGAGAACUUUUGUCUUGGACUAGAAAACUGAAAGAGCUGCUGGAGGAUUCUCUGGGGUGGAACUUCCGGCAAAAUAGUGCUGUUGAUGGGAUGUACUUUGAGGAUGAUGACGAGUUUGCUCCGGUGGUUGAGAUGUUAGAUGAGUCAUUUAAUGAUGGUGCCCCGGUUUCAUAGAAGCGAGCCGAAACGUGCAUCACUUUAGCAUCUGGAAUCACUCAAAAAGACUUUAAGCUUGCUUGCAGGAAAGCAUCGACUAGACUCUCCAAAUCUGCCUAGGCUGGUACUCCGAAGCGUUGAUCUGAUUUUUGAGUUUCAGCGAUGUUUUCAUGUCAAGUCUUUUCUGUACUACUCAUAUUUAUCAUGCUUAACUUACACUGCGUGUACAGUAAUUUCAUGAAUCGUCCAGUGCUGUAAUUUUUCUCGAUUAUUCCCAUCUCAGUUUCUUUAGCUAGCUGCGGGACAUGUCAGGUUCUAAGAAGCCAAAAUGUCUCAAGAUCAAGUCUGAAAAUUUCUCUAGUAAUAGGAAACUAAAGAGGAACCUUGACUUCGGAUGUUUUCCUGGUAACUCGUUUGUAUGUAAACAAAUAUUUAC